rnacentral:rRNA from 1 species
GACGAACGCUGGCGGCGUGCCUAACACAUGCAAGUCGAACGGAAAACAUAGCAAUAUGUUUUUAGUGGCGAACGGGUGAGUAACGCGUAGACAACCAACCUUUUUGUGGGGGACAACACUUCGAAAGGAGUGCUAAUACCGCAUGAGCUCCAGAUGCCGCCUGGUAUUUGGAGGAAAGGAGCUUCACGGCUUCGCAAAAAGACGGGUCUGCGUCUGAUUAGCUAGUUGGAGGGGUAACGGCCCACCAAGGCGACGAUCAGUAGCCGGUCUGAGAGGAUGGACGGCCACACUGGGACUGAGACACGGCCCAGACUCCUACGGGAGGCAGCAGUGGGGAAUCUUCCGCAAUGGACGAAAGUCUGACGGAGCGACGCCGCGUGAGUGAUGAAGGCCCUUGGGUCGUAAAGCUCUGUCAUCAGGGACGAACGGUCACGUCAGGAAAUGGGCGUGAAUUGACGGUACCUGAGAAGGAAGCCACGGCUAACUAC